AGAUUGGGGUCCUGCAGCCCCCAAAAUGCCCAGGCUUUGCUCUGCGGAGAUGCAUGGAGCCCUGGGACACGCCUGAGCACAGAUCCCAAAGCUCUGAAAGAUCCAGAAGCUGCUGUGGGACGGACGCCCACGGGGACCUCGGCCAGCUCGAACCUUCCAGACCGUCACGCUGAGCCCUGUCCCACAGCACUGCAAGGACUUGGCUUGCACAAGCAUCAACCUUUCCCCCUCCCGGGUCACGAGACACAAACAGCCCUGAUUGGAAGCUGUUUUUUCCUCUUUUUUUUUUUUUUUUUGCUUUAUCAGGAUCUUGCUGAGCUAGACGGUGUUCUUGGUGAGUGGGUCAUGUUUGCACAGUGGUUUAUAAGUGCAAUUCCUUAUGUAAGAGCACAGGGUUGCUCCAGAGGCUCACCUGGGCAGCACGCAUGUGCGUUGCCAUCUGCAACAUGAGCGCCGUGUGCACCCAGAGAGCAUCAGCUCCCAUCUCUCAAGGUGCACUGAAUGAACGUGAGGAUUCACAGCCUCUGCUCAGGGUGUGAAGGGCUGCACGCUCGCCGGCCCGGCUGCCAAGAGCCUGGGUUUGCUCCAGUAACCCAGCUCCUGAAGGUCACUGGCUCAAGGCUGGGCUUGUGUCCCGACUGCCUGUUUUUAUUACUGACUGUCCUUAUCGUCGUGUGGUGAGAACAGCCCGUCCCAAGCACGCCUGCUGCCUCUUCUGCUGCCUUUUGCCCAAGCUCCGCUUCUCCCCAGCGCCCUGCCGUGUGCCGGUGUCCAGCCUGGCGUCAUCGAAUGUCACUGCACUGUCACUGCACUGCCACCAGUGCUGGAGCCCUGGGGGAAACUUGUGCGUCAGGAAUUGCUGAUCUGGCUUUGGGGGAUUGACAGGGAACGGGCAGAGGGACUGCAGGGUGGCAAAGUCUGUCUGCAAGGAAGGGGCAAGGCCAGGGAGGAGUGGAAGGGAGGAAGAAAGGGAGGUUCCUUUAAACCAAGCAGGAAUGUCCCAGCCUGGCGGUCCCUGAGCCACUCCGUGGUUUGGAAGCACAAGGCAGCAUCUACAUGAGCAUCCCCCUGCCAGUGGCUUUACCACGCAGACCUGAGGAGGAAGGCUCUCAGAAAGGACCAUCUUGUGCACCAUGCGGGGUGAAUGCAAAGAGGAACACCGAAGAGAUCUCCAUCCCAAGGACAGAGCAAGUCCUGGGGACAUGGAGUACACCCUCAGGACAAGGUCCUUAUUCUUGGAAAGCAAUAACAUCCUUGGAAAGGAAAAGCUAAGGACACAACAUCUCCAUGGGGAUGGCUGGAUUGCCUUGGGCUUAGCGGCACCCCAUCCCAGCCCCAUUGCUGUGCCACCCCCUGCCUUGACUAGCGUCCAGGAUUGUGCAGCAGGACUGAUAGAGUCAGACAGAAGCAGCCGGGACACCAACAGACGAGUCUUCACCUCACUGGGUCAGCACCCGGCCGGGCGAGACGUACUGUGCCGAGAGUGGAAAAUUCCUGCUGCCUCGCCGGGCGCUGCCUGCAGCCCCAGCACACAGCUGCGUCCCACAGGACUUGGCAUGCCCUGCAGUGUUUAUCAACACCGUUGCGCAAGGGCCGUGGCACGCAGCUUGGCAGGGCCAUGGGGCUGCUUGGGCAACCAGCUCUGCCGAAAGCCAGCACGCUCUUGGGAAAGUCCCCCCGCCUGCACGGGCGGCCAGGCACACCUGCGUGUCUGAUGGCACGAUGUCACCAACCUGAAGGCCAUAGGGACCUGGCGGCCACCGGGUUUUCGGCAUCCCGAAUUCAAGGCAGUGAGCCCUGAGGUUUGCUGAGGAUCUCUUCUCGUCCCUUGCAAAUACGCUGGGCUGGUCCCUCUUACAAGGCACACAAAGAUCACCAGUUCAGCACUGGUCCCACUGGUUUGUUGCAGCCUCGCUGUGCUGUUGAGAUGCUCCAUCUCGUGUGACCCUCAAAAACAUGAGACAGGGUCACUCCUUGAGGCGCUGUUCAACUGUGGGAUCCACAGCACAGAUCCCAGCUCAUGUGCCCAUGGAUGCCCCCAUCUGAGACCUAUCCUCAUCACACAUCGGUGUCCUGAGGUCCCCAGCAGCUUCUCAACACCUUUCCACGGCUCUGGAUUCACCUGCAGGGCUACAUAAGACCUCAGAGUUCUGGUGCCCCUUGCCCAGGGUGUGCAGCUCCCUUCUCAGCGGGGAGCAUGGACACGGUGGCAGCACAUCAGGAUGAUGCGCCAGGAGGCUGCUGAGGAGGAACAAUGCCAGGAAUGCUAUUCUGCACUGCCAGAGACACGCUGGAGCCCAGGUACCAGCUGUUUUUGGAACCCCCAGCUGCAGCCCAAAGCCCUGCUAAAGUGGGAAUGUUUGUGGGGUGGGUGCCAAAGCCUAGCCCCCCCCCCCCCCCAAGAGUGGCCAGCAGUAACCCUGGGGCAUCAAGGGCUUGCAGCAGGGCUGAGGGCAUAGAGACCAAGGUAGGGGCUGCCCACCAUGGGGACGCAUCCAGCAGAAGAAUCCUAAAUUUAGGGUCCCCCUGACCCUUCCCCAGGCCCGCCGGCAGCUGGAGGCGCAGCGCAGAGCAGGCUUUGCGUGAGCCAGCCAAGAUGUUCAUCGGAGCAGAGGCAUGCAUAAACAUUUUGCUUAAUAAAGGACUCUGGGCGAACACAGUGUACUCUGGCUCCGUGCAGUGGGAACAGCUGUGGCCCUGCGGGGCCAGCGCAGGGAUGUCGAGGCGCGGUGGCAGAGCGACCUCGUAUGGCAACAGCACAGUCAGCGGGCACCGCGAGCCACGGGACACCGCAAAGCAUCCCAACCCCGCACCCAUCUGGCACCUCAGCCCGAUUUUGGGAUGCGCAUCGGGAUGCUCUGAGAACUGCUAGCAGAGGUUGAGCCAAGGAUGCGGCACGUGAAGCAAAUCUCGCUUUCCAUCACUUGUGGCUUGCUGCAAAUCUGAUUUCCAAGAACGAAAGCAGCUCGGUGCACACUGCAUUUCUACGAACGCAGCUCCUCCUGGGGGCGAUGGGCUGAGUCCAGCCCGUGCUCCCUCACAUGGGGUCUUCGGGGGAAAAAGUUCCACUCCGUAGCUCUGGAUAUGCGCUCAGUUCGGGUGCGGGGAUCUGGAGCAAUUGCAGGGGAUUCCUCCCUUCACUCCGCGUGCUGCACCGCGGUUAUUCAACAGGCACGGAGCACAGCGGGCAGCCGGGCUCCUGGCGAGCCAACAGGGAGACACGACAGAAACGCAGGGCACAGCAUCGCUCAGCGGCGGGAACAGAUCAGCACAGCCUCUCUGCUUCCCACCAUCCGCCCGCAGCUCCUUGGCCACUCGGUGUUACCACACCACACCACAACCAGCAGAACCACUCCACCUUUCCACGCAUUCUUGCUAAUCUCUCGUGCUGAUUGAAGCCGUUGCUAAUGACGAAACGUCUGAGGAUAACGACAGGCAGAAGUAACAGGGAAGUGAGGACCUGAAUCAUGCUUUUCUUCCACCUCGCUGGGCGGUGCGCAGGGAUGUGGGAGCUCUGCUGUGUGUUUCCCAGCUCUUUGCUCUUU